ACCAUUCUGGAAAACAUGAUCAUCUUGUAUUUGUGACUGAUGCAAAUGAUUGAAACGACUCGAGUUUCCAUUGACAACAGGAGGAAGAUUUGUUGCUUUGUAUUUAGAAAACUCAGCAUCCAUGAUUUUAGAUGGUGCAAGAUUCCCAUCAACUCCUGCCCCAUUUCUCGGUGGACCAAUUUCUGGUUUAGGAGCAGGUUUAGCUUCAGCAGAUGCUCCAACUACUUUAGAGAAAUUUGCCUGCGCAAUCUUAUGGCCUUGAGUCAACUUUUGAGGGCCACCAGAAGCCUUCUUUUGAGAUGAGAGUUCAGUGCUAGAGGGUACCAUUGACUGUGAGACUUUGUUACCAGGUCCAUGUAAGAAAGCACAUCUAUCAC
rnacentral:misc_RNA from 1 species